CCGAGGUAAGGGCCCGGGAGUUGGGGGUUAGGCGGGAAUUUCAAAGUCGGGGUUCCCCACUCCGACUUCUGAGCGAGGGAGCUUUGUGGACCAGAAGAGAACGUGGGAGGGGGCGUCACUGAGAAACUAACAGGAGGUUCCCGGACUCUCGAGACUCAAGUGAGGAAUGGCAUUCCAGCCACUGAAAAAUCCAGGUCUCUGAGCAAACCCAAGUCCAGAGGUCCCUCCUUCGCGGAGACUCAGUUUCUCCACUUCGGGAACAGCGGGAUGGAGGCGGGGAGCAGGAGCGUUUCAGGCCAGCCCCUCGGCUCCGCCCCCUCCCUGGCCGAACGCAGGGAGGGACCCACUUGGGAUGGGCGGGUGUUCAGGCCAAUGGGCGGGCCGGGAGGUGGAGUGCAG